rnacentral:tRNA from 3 species
GCACAUGUGGCGGAAUGGUAUACGCGCUACGUUGAGGUCGUAGUCUCUGAAAUACGGGAUGCAGGUUCGACUCCUGUCAUGUGCAC